rnacentral:rRNA from 1 species
UUAGAUACCCUAUUAUACUAGUGAUUACCUUAAUUAUUAAUAGAUAUGAUCUUUAAACUUGAAGAAUUUGGCGGUGGUUUAAUCUUGUUAGAGGAACCUGUUUUUGAAUCGAUACACCACGUGAAAUCUUACUCGUUUUAUUAAGCCUAUAUACCGUCAUUAUCAGACAAUUUUUAAAGAAAUAAAUUGUUGAGAUUUGUAAGUUAGAAGUAAAUUAAAUUAGAUCAAGGUGUAGCCUAUAAAUGAGUUAAAAUGGGUUACAAUAAAAUGUAUUUAAGAUGAAUUAGUUUAAGGAAGAAUUAACUAUGAAGGAGGAUUUGAUUGUAAUAAGAGUUUAAUAAGCUCUAAAGAUAUAAGCUCUAAACCAUGUACAUAUCGCCCGUCGCUA